UCCAGACUCCUACGGGAGGCAGCAGUGGGGAAUAUUGCACAAUGGGGGAAACCCUGAUGCAGCAACGCCGCGUGAGUGAAGAAGUAUUUCGGUAUGUAAAGCUCUAUCAGCAGGGAAGAUAAUGACGGUACCUGACUAGGAAGCCCCGGCUAACUACGUGCCAGCAGCCGCGGUAAUACGUAGGGGGCAAGCGUUAUCCGGAUUUACUGGGUGUAAAGGGAGCGUAGGUGGCAGGGCAAGUCAGAUGUGAAAGCCCGGGGCUCAACCCCGGGACUGCAUUGGGAACUGCCCCGCUCGAGUGCCGGAGGGGCAGGCGGAAUUCCUAGUGUAGCGGUGAAAUGCGUAGAUAUUAGGAGGAACACCAGUGGCGAAGGCGGCCUGCUGGACGGUGUACUGACGCUGAGGCUCGAAAGCGUGGGGAGCAAACAGGAUUAGAUACCCCUGUAGAG
rnacentral:rRNA from 1 species